GUGAGCAUAGUUUAUAUGAAUACUAGUAUGUGACACUAGAGAUGAAGACUAACUAUCUUCUGCCCACC
rnacentral:tRNA from 1 species